GUCUAUUAUGAAUUUAUUUAUAGUCUAGCCUGCUCACUGAUAAAAUUAUUAAAUAGCCGCGGUAUCUUGACCGUGCAAAGGUAGCAUAAUCAUUAGUUUUUUAAUUGGAAACUAGCAUGAAUGGUUGGACAAAGAAAAAGCUGUCUCUUUCAUUAAAAUUGAAUUUAACUUCUAAGUGAAAAGGCUUAGAUAUCUUAGAGGGACGAUAAGACCCUAUAAAGCUUUAUAAAUUCAAAGAUUUUAUAUAUUUUUUUUAAUAAUGAUAAUUUUUCAAAAAUUUAUUGGGUUGGGGCAACAGAAGUAUAAUUAUCAAUAACUGCUAUAAAGUAUUACAAUUAUUUUUGUUAUUAGAGAGUUGUUGAUCCUCGAAAGGGAUUAAAAGAUCAAGUUACUUUAGGGAUAACAGCGUAAUUUAUCUUGAGAGUUCUUAUCAAAGGAUAAGUUUGCGACCUCGAUGUUGAAUUAAAAUGUCUUUAUAGUGCAGCAGCUAUACAAGAAGGUCUGUUCGACCUUUAAUUUUUU
rnacentral:rRNA from 1 species